GAUGAACGCUGGCGGCGUGCCUAAUACAUGCAAGUCGAGCGAACGGACGAGAAGCUUGCUUCUCUGAUGUUAGCGGCGGACGGGUGAGUAACACGUGGAUAACCUACCUAUAAGACUGGGAUAACUUCGGGAAACCGGAGCUAAUACCGUAUAAUAUUUUGAACCGAAUGGUUCAAAAGUGAAAGACGGUCUUGCUGUCACUAAUAGAUUGAUCCGCGCUGCAUUAGAUAGUUGGUAAGGUAACGGCUUACCACGGCAACGAUGCAUAGCCGACCUGAGAGGGUGAGAGGCCACACUGGACCUGAGACACGGACCAGACUCCUACGGGAGGCAGCAGUAGGGAAUCUUCCGCAGUGGGCGAAAGCCUGACGGAGCAACGCCGCGUGAGUGAUGAAGGUCUUCGGAUCGUAAAACUCUGUUAGUAGGGAAGAACAUAUGUGUAAGUAACUGUGCAGAUCUUGACGGUACCUAAUCAGAAAGCCACGGCUAACUACGUG
rnacentral:rRNA from 1 species